ACAGUGCUACUGGCCCAUAAUCAGGCAACUGCAGAGUCUUAGGGGGUUAUCUAAUGUAGUCUUGGGGUGGCUGGAUAGACUUCCCAAAGAAGGUGAUGCCGAAGCUGAGGUCGGAAAUUACGAAGAUCAGCUAUGUAAGUUAAAGGGUGAGGGGAAAGGGAGCCCAAUGAGAGGGAGAGAGGGAAAAAACAGGGAGCGUGCACGUGCACGUGAGAGAGACAGAGACAGAGAGAGAGAAUAUAUGAGAAAGUGAAGAAGAGAAAAUGGGAGAGGGAGAGAAAACAUACAAUUAUGUAUGUCUGGAGCACACCAUAUUAAAGGAGGGAGUGGCAGAAAACGUGAGGUGGGAAUCAAAUCAUGCUGGGCUUUUUGGCCAGGUAAGGAGUUUGGUUUAUAGUCUAAAAGAAAUGGUGAACCAUGUACAACAUAUUGUUUUAGAGUAUAUGUGCAUUGUGGAAUGAGUUAAUCUAGCUAAUUAACACAUGCAUUGCCUCACAUAGUUAUCAUUUUUGUGGUAAGAAUACUUUAUAUCCACUCUGUUAGCAUUCAUUGUUCAAGAAUACAAUAUAUUGUUAACUACGGUCAUCAUGUUGUACAGUAGAUCCCUUGAAUUUAUUCCUCCUAUGUAACUGAACUUUUGUAUUCUUUGACCAAUAUCUCCCUACCACCCCCAUCAACCAACCCAGCCCACGGUAACCACCAUUCUACUGUCGUCUACUUCCCUGUGAUCAUUUUUUUUCUUUUUAAGAUGAGUGAGAUCAUGUAGUCUUUGUCUUCCUGUGUCUAGCUAAUUUCACUUAAUGUCCUCCAGGCUCAUCCAUGUUGUACAUGGUAAAGACCUACAAUUUCAUGUCAAAAAAGGGAUACUUUGCUACCAGCUUUAGAAAAGGUAGAGAUAGUGAACCAGUGGUGAGUUUUAAGAAGAGACAUUGCAGAGAUACUUAAGGGAAAUCAGAGUGAUCCCAAUGCAGAACUUUUGAGUUUUAAUAUUGGGAUAAAAUUUUCAUUUUGGGGGGGGUCAAAGUUUAGUAUUCCCUCCUUACUUCAAAAAAUAAGAAUGAAGAAGUCCUAGAUAGGUUCUAAAUUUCAAA
rnacentral:lncRNA from 1 species